rnacentral:tRNA from 1 species
CCCCAGUAGUAUAGGUAUUACCCUGGUCUUGUAAACCAGAAACGGAGAUCAACUCACCCUGGGACA